rnacentral:lncRNA from 1 species
GUGGAACCAAAGUUUUAAUCAAAGAAGGUGAUGUUCAGUUGCUGCUUACGAUAGUUGAUACCCCAGGAUUUGGAGAUGCAGUGGAUAAUAGUAAUUGCUGGCAGCCUGUUAUCAAUUACAUUGAUAGUAAAUUUGAGGACUACCUAAAUGCAGAAUCACGAGUGAACAGAUGUCAGAUGCCUGGUAACAGGGUGCAGUGUUGUUUAUACUUCAUUGCUCCUUCAGGACAUGGACCAUUACAUAACUGAAGACUCCCACCUUCAGGCAGGAUUGGGUAGUACGUGUUUGUAACUACCUGGCAUUGCCUUUUGUUGAGGAAGGGUAGAUGUCUACCCAAAUGGAAUAUUGAGUAUCAGAGACUUCAAAUGAUAACUUUUGUUUGUUUGGAGAAAAUCUUGAGGACGUGAUCACUGUACAAAAGCAUGGCAAAAUGAGGAAACCACUGACAGGUGAAGAAUUUGCACAAUGGAAAACCACCUUGACCAUCUCAUGACUUUAUACAGGAAUCGGAGACAUCCAAGGCCAUUCCAUUUCUAGAUCACACUUAUCCCUCAAUCAAGUCAGUGACUGGAUCAUCUCCUAAGGUUUCACCUGCUUUGCAUCAGUGAGUUGGACUAUGGAUCAGGUACUGUGCUCAGCAUCAGAAAAUGGGAUGACAAUGAACAGAGUAACACGACUAUAUUUCUGAAAAAGGAUGAACUUACUGGAAACAGGAUUGCGUGCCUGAAAUAGACCCAAAUGGAUAUAAAUGUCAACUCAGUUCUGGGCUGGAGAUAUAGAUUUGGAAUGCACCAACAAUGCAGAUGGUAAUCCUGGCAUGCGAGUAGGUGAGAUCAUCCGGGGAGAUGGCCUAUAAUGAGAGCCUAUAACAUGUCAGAUUCUGUUCACUCUCUGCUAUCAGUUGCUGUGUCCUUAAGGAAUGCAGACAAUGUUAAUUCAA